rnacentral:rRNA from 1 species
UACGUAGGGUGCAAGCGUUGUCCGGAAUUAUUGGGCGUAAAGAGCUCGUAGGCGGUCUGUCGCGUCUGCUGUGAAAACCUGGGGCUUAACCCCGGGCCUGCAGUGGGUACGGGCAGACUAGAGUGUGGUAGGGGAGACUGGAAUUCCUGGCGUAGCGGUGAAAUGCGCAGAUAUCAGGAGGAACACCGGUGGCGAAGGCGGGUCUCUGGGCCAUAACUGACGCUGAGGAGCGAAAGCGUGGGGAGCGAACAGG